rnacentral:rRNA from 1 species
UGGGGAAUAUUGCACAAUGGGCGGAAGCCUGAUGCAGCGACGCCGCGUGGGGGAUGAAGGCCUUCGGGUUGUAAACUCCUUUCGACAGGGACGAAGCUUUUGUGACGGUACCUGUAUAAGAAGCACCGGCUAACUACGUGCCAGCAGCCGCGGUAAUACGUAGGGUGCGAGCGUUGUCCGGAAUUACUGGGCGUAAAGAGCUCGUAGGUGGUUUGUCGCGUCGUCUGUGAAAUUCCGGGGCUUAACUCCGGGCGUGCAGGCGAUACGGGCUGACUUGAGUGCUGUAGGGGAGACUGGAAUUCCUGGUGUAGCGGUGAAAUGCGCAGAUAUCAGGAGGAACACCGAUGGCGAAGGCAGGUCUCUGGGCAGUAACUGACGCUGAGGAGCGAAAGCAUGGGUAGCGAACAGGAUUAGAUACCCUGGUAGUCCACGCCCUAAACGAUGCGAACUGGAUGUUGGGUGCAAUUUGGCGCGCAGUAUCGAAGCUAACGCGUUAAGUUCGCCGCCUGGGGAGUACGGUCGCAAGACUG